rnacentral:misc_RNA from 1 species
AACGCACAUUGCGCCCCUUGGUAUUCCAUGGGGCAUGCCUGUUCGAGCGUCAUUUGUACCUUCAAGCUUUGCUUGGUGUUGGGUGUUUGUCUCGCCUCUGCGUGUAGACUCGCCUCAAAACAAUUGGCAGCCGGCGUAUUGAUUUCGGAGCGCAGUACAUCUCGCGCUUUGCACUCAUAACGACGACGUCCAAAAGUACAUUUUUACACUCUUGACCUCGGAUCAGGUAGGGAUACCCGCUGAACUUAA